rnacentral:lncRNA from 1 species
CGGGGCGCCGUCUGGGGCGGCGUCGUGCGGCGCCUGUCGGGGCCGUGUAGGCCGCGGGCGCCUCGCGACGCUUGCCGAGAACCGACGCCGACGGCAGUUCCGGCUCUUGUUCCAUGGCGCUUUUUUUUCGGCGUCAAGGGACGGGGGGCGCGUGCGCAGACCAACACGACAAGGCAGACUGCGAAAUGGUCCGCUGCCGGCGGGAAAAUCCGGGGCAAUAUAAGACAAAAAAGGAAAUCCCAACAAAAAGAAUCGGACGUCGUGUGGGUCGACAGAGAGAGGCAGCGUCAACAGGGCGGCGGUCGCGAUGGCCCUACUUGACCCAAGGAGCCACGGACACACUCGGUCGGCCACCCGGCAGCGGCGACUGGUCGACGCAGCGCACGUCCGCCAUUGGACCCAUGCAGGCGCCGCCUGUCGACAGUUUGUCGUGCAAAAAAGGAAACAGGAAAAAAUGACAUAAUCC